UUGUAUCAUAAUAAUACAUUGGUUAGCACUCCCCUUGAGAAGGAUGGAAGAGGUCCUAAUGGCCUUUACAAUACAUAUAGGGUUAAGGCAUUGCCGCCUACUUAGUGGCCCCCUUCUAGACUGU